rnacentral:lncRNA from 1 species
GAAGGAACCUUGCACAAUUUGGAUGGCCGAGUAUCUUCCCUCUCGAAGGGAAUUUCGGUAAAUCUAGGGGUUGUUAUUUACUAAAGUUCAUGAAAACUGUUUCUUGCAUAUGUGAAUAGCUUAAUGAAAGCAUCUUUUGCAAUUGAGUUUUGACUUAUUUCCGCUUUAAUUUGGAGUUUUAUGAAAAGCACAAUUUGUUUUAUUUAUUUAUUUGAUUAUUGUCCUGAUUUUUUUAAUUCUUUUAAGAUGGCCAAAGAUGAAAUUAUUUGACCCUUUGAAUAUCACUGUGCUGGAAUCCGAUGAUGGCUUCAUUGAAAAAUCCCUUCAUUCAGACAUCCCUUCAUGAAGAAAUCCCUUCAUUGAAAAAUCUCUUCAUUGAAAAAUCCCUUCAUUAGGAAACUCAUACAUUGAAAAAUUCCUUCAUUGAGAAGUCACUUCAUUGAGAAACCCCUUCAUGAAGAAAACCCUUCAUUGAAAAAUCUCUUCAUUGAAAAAUUCCUUC